UCGUUUCCCUCUUACUCACGACGCCGCGUCGACCUCACCUUCUCCGAUCAGAGCUCCGCCGUGACGCUACCAUUGACAUUAGAAUCAGCUCACCAUCAUAUGCUCUCUCUCAUAUCUCGUCCAAUCCUCGUCAGAGUCGCUCCGACGGCGCUUCAAGCGUGACGACGACGAACGGAGGUCCACGGUUCCUUGUUCAGUUGCUUUGCAGAAAUAAUCCGAAAGUGAGUUUGUUGAAGAUUUGGUGAAGAUUUAUGUGAGGAUUCGAUGAAUUGAACGUUGUUGAUAGAGUUUUGUUGCUGUGCUGCGAUGAAGAUUUGGUGAUGAAGAUUGAAGAGAUCGAAGAUCGAAUCCGGGGGAAGAUUGAGAGAGAGCGUCUGAAGAUCAGUUUUCUACAGAUGUGAAGGAUUCUGAAGGUUAGAGAUUGGUUCAGAAGGGAUGAAGAUUGUUGGAAUUGUUGUGAAGUGUGAAGAAUCGAUUAUGGUGAUGUUUGUUGAAGAAGGUUGAAGCAUUCAAGAUCGGAGAAGAAGAUCUUGGUGAAUGGAAACGUUGAUGAUGAUGAAUCCAAUGAGAGAGUUCUUCCCCGCCAAAGUUUGUUACGAUUCGGUGAUUUCGGUUUAACACCGAAUCGGUUUUUUGCUUUGGUUCCCAGCAAAUUCAAGAUUGAAUCCUCAUGAAAGAUAUGGGAACCGUUUUACUGAUUUGUGCAGGAUUGGUUUUGAUGGUUAGUUAGCUUUCUAAUCCGGUUUCCAUUCCAAUGAGUUUCGGUUUUGUUUUCCCCUUAUGCAGCAAGUUUUGGUGUGAGAAUUUGUUAGCUGCAAGUGGAUCGGUUUUGGAUGCAUAAUGCAGGGAGUUUCUUUCUAUUUUGCAUAGAUUGUCUUUCUAUUUUUUUUGUAUGGUAUUUUUGUAAUGGACUGGACUUUGUAAUUGAUAUAGUCUUUUUGUGAU